GAACAUGGCUCAGGAUGAACGCUGGCGGCGUGCUUAACACAUGCAAGUCGAACGAUUGAAGCUGGAGCUUGCUCCGGCCGAUUUAGUGGCGGACGGGUGAGUAACGCGUGGGUAACCUGCCUCAUACAGGGGGAUAGCAGUUGGAAACGACUGGUAAAACCGCAUAAGCGCACGGUAUCGCAUGAUACAGUGUGAAAACACUCCGGUGGUAUGAGAUGGACCCGCGUCUGAUUAG
rnacentral:rRNA from 1 species